rnacentral:lncRNA from 1 species
GUCAUCUUUUUGUCACUAUGAUUAAAAUACCCAACAAGAACAACUUAGAGGUGAAAGGUUUAUUUUGGCUCAUGGUUUUUUAGAGGUUCAGUUCACGGUUGGCCAACUUCAUCCCUCUGGGCUUGAAGUCAGGCACAGCAUCAUGGCGGAAGGGCAUGAGGAAGGAAAGCUGCUCAGGUUAUGUAGUUGAGAAGGACAGAGAGGGAGAGAGAGACAGACAGACAGAUAGGGAGAAACCAGAGACAAGACACAGUGCCCAAAAGUAUGUCCCCAGUGACUCACUUCCUCCAGCCAUGCCCACCUGCCCACAAUUACCACCCAGUGGUCCAUUCAAAGUAUUAAUCCAUCAAAUGGAUUAAUCCACUGAUGAGGUUACAACUGAGAAUCUGAUCAUUUCACCUGUGAACAUUCCACCCUGGAUAUCUUGUUUCUAACACAUGAACUUUUAUGGGAGGGGACACUUUAUAUCCAAACCAUAAGGUUCUUUGUUCUGAGCAACAACGUAAAGGGUAAAAGAAUAGAUGUGCACCAACCCCCUAGCAGCAAAAUUGGCUCUUGCCUGUUCAAAGUUAAGUUUCAGGCAGCACGUCCCCUGUUGUGGCUCCAGGACCAGUAGCACCUGUCGCUCUACACUUCUCAGGAAUAGAAAUUCUCAGCCACCUCCCCAGACUUGAUGCAUCAGAAACCCCGGGGAAAGGACCCAGGAGCAGGUGCUGAGCAAGUCCUACGGGCGAUUCUGGUGCAGGUUCUAGUUUGAUGACCACCGAUUCCAUAUUCACUAUGCAAAAGACCACCAGGUGUCUGAAUAUAAGCCAGCAAUAGGGUGUUGCUUACGGAGGAGAGUACGGAGGAGAGAGGUGAACCACCAGGACUCUGGAGCUCAUAAACCAUAUUCCUACCUUCAGGAAAGGGAGUGAUGUGGACACAAAUAAUUUUUUUUUUCC